ACUCCUACGGGAGGCAGCAGUAGGGAAUCUUCGGCAAUGGGGGCAACCCUGACCGAGCAACGCCGCGUGAGUGAAGAAGGUUUUCGGAUCGUAAAGCUCUGUUGUAAGUCAAGAACGAGUGUGAGAGUGGAAAGUUCACACUGUGACGGUAGCUUACCAGAAAGGGACGGCUAACUACGUGCCAGCAGCCGCGGUAAUACGUAGGUCCCGAGCGUUGUCCGGAUUUAUUGGGCGUAAAGCGAGCGCAGGCGGUUUGAUAAGUCUGAAGUUAAAGGCUGUGGCUCAACCAUAGUUCGCUUUGGAAACUGUCAAACUUGAGUGCAGAAGGGGAGAGUGGAAUUCCAUGUGUAGCGGUGAAAUGCGUAGAUAUAUGGAGGAACACCGGUGGCGAAAGCGGCUCUCUGGUCUGUAACUGACGCUGAGGCUCGAAAGCGUGGGGAGCGAACAGGAUUAGAAACCCCGGUAGUCCCA
rnacentral:rRNA from 1 species